rnacentral:lncRNA from 1 species
CUCUCUCUUCUUUUCCUUUCAUCGCUCUCUCUUUUCCCUCCCCCGAGCCGCAGGCGCUGCCCAUCGCCGAUGCCGGAAAACGCCCACCGGAGGCGGCCUACCUCCAAUCCGCCCCAAAUUUUACCAUGUAAUCUCCACCACCUCCUCUUUCCAUAUCUUCAAACCAAAUCCUUCAGAAAACUCUCAAACUCCUUGAAUCUUAGAUCUAAGAAACUUUCCCGUUACUUUUUCGCCCAAGUUAUUGAAGUUCAGGCUACUACCACCCUACAAUACAUACAUCAACAUAUUCUCUCAUCAAGACCUAGCUAUUGAUGUUAAUUAUACCUCAAAAUUGUUCCGGCUACUACCACCCUACAAUACAUACAUCAACAGAUAGGUCUCCUCAAGACCUAGCUAUUGAUGUCAAUUUUACCUCAAAAAUCCGGCGACAAAAAUCUGGCCAAAUUCCGGCGACCUCCCCGAACAUCCUUCUUGGCACACCACCAUUUUUCCGGCCAUUAGAAUUGUAAAACGGUAAAAUACUUUAUUUUUUCAUGGCUGAUUUUUAUUUUCUAUUUUUAUUUUUGUUUAUUAUUUAUUUUAGCAUUAUUUUUUGAAGUUUUAAAAUUUUAAUUGUUU